GCCAUCUGGAGCUGCAAAAUCAGAAUUCAGACAACCGGAUCAUCUACCAGGCAAAGAUUGUCUCUCCUUCCAGACCGCAGCCUCUUUGAAGACAGCCCCACGGGCUCUCCGUGUCCCAGGCUCAUCGCACAUCCCGGGCACAUCCUGGAGGCUCACACCGUUGGAUGAGUGAAGGGGAGAGGUGGAGCAGUAACACUGGCACCCUGACUUGUGAUGUUGCACAGGGAAAGCCCUUUAAAAAGUAAACAGAAGUGCUUUCUCACCUCACUUUGGAAGAAAAACACCGUCUCCGACCACCAGAAGCAAAAAGGUUUCCUUCAUGCAGAUCCACUCAGCAAGUAUUUUGGGGCUGCCUACCAGGCAGGGGGAUGAGCCCCCAUAACAAAGCCACCUUCUUCAAAGCCAGCUCUUCCCUCCUUCUUGAUCACUCAGGGACCGUCUUCCCUUCCAUGCCUCCUGUACCUGAGUGAUGAGCACAGCGUGGCAUUUAUUACUUUAGAGACUAACCAGUGGAAAACUGUACUCUCCACCUCUUCAGAAAGACUGGGGGAACUAUAGUCUCUUUCUGUCCCACCUAGAGAGCUGGUGUCUGAAGUUUGCCCACAUGUUUGGGAGAGGAACACAGAGACUACGGGGAUGCAGAGGAGAGGACACGAGUACCUGACUGGACUACCCCGUGGCCUCUAGCCCGAGGUGCUCUGGCUCUGCCACCAUGCACCUUGUCCCUCCAUUCUUGACCCUGCACCCUCCCCUAGCUGUUGCAAACCAAUGCAGUUCAGAGUACCCAAAGUGGAAAGACAGUAGCCACACGCCCAAAUCAUCCCUUCCCCUAGCAUUCCUUGGUUCAGGUGAGGUCAGAUGUAGUAAGUAGUCACUUGUGAGGCAAGAUUUAGGGAGCACAGGAAGGCUCCUGCUCAAAAAUAAAUUCCACGUGAAUGCCUGAA